AGCUUUGCACAGUGGCAGUAUCGUAGCCAAUGAGGUUUAUCCAAGGCAUGAUUAUUGCUAAUUAAAAACUUUUCCCAAUACCUCGCUGUGACAACUUGCAAUAUAGUCGGCACUGGCAAUUUUUGACAGUCUCUACGGAGA
ensembl:snRNA U4 U4 spliceosomal RNA